CGUGAAUCUCGACAAAAGGUUGGAUUUUCCGACGCCGGAGUCGCCAAUCAACACCACCUUGAACAGAUAAUCAUAGUCGUCAUCCGCCCUGUACGCCAUGGCUGCCCUCCUCCCUCACAAAUCCAAAUUCGACUCGGCGGUUGGGUUUGGUUGGGUUCUGGUUUCCGGGUCGGAUCCGAAUUGGGUCGCCGGAUUUAUUCAAUUGGAAGAGCGACUCGGACUCGGAGGCAUGGAACGAAGGGAGGGAGGAUUGUGUGAAAACGGAAGGACGGCAAAUUUGAGAUUUUCUGCUGCUGAUAAAAAAUGAUAUGAUAUUUGAAGAGGUGUAUCACCUUGUGCCAUGUGGGCCCCACCCCAGAUUUAAGGCCCUUGUUUUUUCACUCCUGGGCCUGAAGGGUUAAUAGUUAUUUUUCUUAGAGGAAUCUUCGUACACUCAAAUUUCAUUAACCACUCGUAAACCGAUACGUAGAAAAAACUUAUUCGUUUUAAGAUGAGGUUUCAAAUUUUAAGUCGAAUGUCACACAAUCAAAUUUAAAAGUAUGAAGAACCUUCAACCGACAACGUGGAUUGAUGACAUAUGAAUGAAUUUUCUGCUGCCAAAAUUAACAUAUGAGAAAAGUGCUGCCAAUUUUUUUAUAAAUUAUCUUAUUGGGUGAGUCCUACAAAUAUCAUUUAUAAGAUAAAUAAUAAAUAGAUUAGAGGAAGAGAAAAUUUGACACUUGUCACAUUAGCUAUUAAAUUAACAUUUGAUAUUUAUUUUUUGACACAUUAGAGAUGGUCUUAGUGAUUUCUUAAAGAAAAAAAAUUAUUUAUUUUACGGCAAUAAAAUUUAGAGGGAAAAUUUGGAGAGAGUUGGAGAUUUCGCUGUAGAUGGUGUGAUUCAGAGUUUUCUUACUUUGUGGAUGCUUCUGCCUGUUUAGAGAAAGAAAAAACGAGGGGGUUGCAUGUUCUUGCAAACCAACAUUCAAAACUCACUUAGAAUAUAUUCAAACUUUGAAUAGAGAAGUAGAUGAGCUUGUGGAGACAAAACUUGGUUUUAAAAAUUAAAAAAAAAAAAAAUCUUUUUGGUGCCUUACAUCUCAAGCAAUCAAAAUCAAGAUAUACCUUGGGUUUGUUUGUUUGUUUGUUUUUAUUUUUUUGGAGAUGAAAAUAACAAUUACAAAGAAAAGACUUGUGGCGAGAAGAGCUAGCAAAAUCCCAUAAUGGAAUUUUAGAAUUACGCUUUUUUGUUGAAGCAUUUAACUCCAAGAUUCCAUGAUAAGGGGCCUAGUGGUAAUCUAUGCCCAAUUAUACAAGAAUAGAACAUUUUAUUAAUUGUAAUAUAAUAGGAAUGAGUGACUUGUCAUCCAAGAAAUUACAAUUUUAAUAAGAAAGACUUGUCCUUCAAGAAAUUACAAUUCUCUCUAUGCUUGUGCUCAUUAUUAUAGUGAUGGUGUAAAUCCUAGUUAUUAGAUUGAGUUUUAGAUUACUCCUUAUUAUAGUGAUUCUUUACUACUAGAAUUGUAAUUACUUGGAGGAUAAGUUAUUCCUUCCUCUUAGAUUACUAUUAAUAAAAAAGAGUAAUGCUUGGAAGACUAAAUUUGUAAACAAAAUUUUGUAAACUAUAUUACAUGAAAGUUGAUGGUUGGAUUAUUACUUAAGUGUUGAUAAACGUGCUCAUUCAUAUUAGUGACCACAUCAUUUAGUUUGUAAUUUUUUGUCUAUAAAUUUAGUUUUCCUAGUAUUACCCUUAGUAAAAAUACUGGUAUGUAAGAAUCACACAAUCUUAAACAUUCUACAAUUUCUCUCCACGCUCUCACUUGCCGCACCCUCUCUCAACCCUUUAGAUAAAUGGCCUCAACACAUAUCACAACGUUAUGGUAAAUGUUCUAUUCUUGUAUAAUUGGCACAGAUACACCAAUUAAAUGAAUGGUUGGAUCAUGUGGAGUAAAAGAUCCAAUGGCCAAAAAUAAAAGAAGAAGAAAGCAAACAAAAACAAGAAGAAGAAAGCCUAAACCACACCCCUGAUUAUACAUAAAUAAAAUCCAACAGCUUAGAAAAUUUUGCCAACUUAAAACAUGAAACCUGUUUGAAAUCCAUGACCCGUUUUAUGAAGAACCCUUUUGAUUUUAUAUUUUUUCCACGAAUUCGUGGCUCCUCAUUCUAAUCCUCCCUAACUCUACAUCGUCAUCUUGUUAGACAAUGGCAAAGUGUUGCAAAAAUUAAUAGUGUUGUGAGAACAUUGUCCCGAUUGGAUUAAAGUUAAAGAAUCAUUGUCACAAUUUUUUUUCAAUGCACUAUAAAUUACGUGCCAAAAAAACAAAGACUGCAGUAUAUAUUAUACCGCUGGUGAAAAUUAGGCAACAUACAUAUAACGUUUAGCAAACAUAUGAGAAUAAAAUCACUUCCAAGUCGAAAUAGUUAGGAGAAAAAAGUAAGCAAAAUAAGGCCGUUAAGGUCUGCCAUGCAUCCUGGCCACUCUAUAGUACACCGUGACCCUCCUCUAUACAAAUUAUACAGCGGCGGGGCUUUCUAACUAAAUCUGCAACCAUACUAAAAAAUAAAUAAAAAAACUAGUNNNNNNNNNNNNNNNNNNNNNNNNNNNNNNNNNNNNNNNNNNNNNNNNNNNNNNNNNNNNNNNNNNNNNNNNNNNNNNNNNNNNNNNNNNNNNNNNNNNNNNNNNNNNNNNNNNNNNNNNNNNNNNNNNNNNNNNNNNNNNNNNNNNNNNNNNNNNNNNNNNNNNNNNNNNNNNNNNNNNNNNNNNNNNNNNNNNNNNNNNNNNNNNNNNNNNNNNNNNNNNNNNNNNNNNNNNNNNNNNNNNNNNNNNNNNNNNNNNNNNNNNNNNNNNNNNNNNNNNNNNNNNNNNNNNNNNNNNNNNNNNNNNNNNNNNNNNNNNNNNNNNNNNNNNNNNNNNNNNNNNNNNNNNNNNNNNNNNNNNNNNNNNNNNNNNNNNNNNNNNNNNNNNNNNNNNNNNNNNNNNNNNNNNNNNNNNNNNNNNNNNNNNNNNNNNNNNNNNNNNNNNNNNNNNNNNNNNNNNNNNNNNNNNNNNNNNNNNNNNNNNNNNNNNNNNNNNNNNNNCCUCUGGCUGGAUCUGUUCGAGAUGGCCUAAGCUCUAGAGCCACAGUCUUAAAAGCCAAAAUUAGCUAACACAUUUGUAGGUAAGCUCACUUCACCAUAUAAACGCAUUAUAUGUAGAAUGAACACAUAUGCUGAUGACAAAAUAAAAUAUAGAUGCCUGCAAGACAUAUAAGGGGCGUUUGUUUGCCCUCACUAAGUGGUACUGGACUAGACUGGACUAACAAUUAGUCUAAUUUAGUGUUUGUUUUGUACUAGGAUUAUCUUUAAUGAGACUAAGAGGGACUCGCACGGACAAACUCCUUCGCUAGGAGUUCUUGGCCAGACCCCCCGAUACCCAUGGGAUUGCUAAGACCUCGUCUACUCCGUCCUCAAUCCUCAUCGUGCUUUUAUCUCUCUUGCUCUCUGUUCUUUUGAGCACCGACAACCACCAUCACACCACAACUCGCCAACUCCAGCGAGACCAUACCACCAACCUACCACCACUUUCUCCCUCUCUCCUCACCCUGAACCCAGAAUUUCGAACUGAGGAAGAUCCCGCUCUUACCGUUGUCUGUCCAACUCUAGUCGUCCUCCGAUCCACCCUCGAGGAAGAUCUCACACUCGCCGUCCUCGAUUCAAUACCGUCGAGGAGUUAUGUAGGUUAAUUUAUUUCAUUUCCUGUAUUUUUUUUUUGUUCAAUUUCAAACUCGUGAUGCAACUCUAAAAAAGGGCAGCAAAGCCUUGACCCGCAGCUCCAACACCGUCCCCUUUAUCCAGCCCCACUAGCUUGUUAAUCAGGUUUGUGUUAAUGGGUUUGAUAAAAUUACGUUAAGUCUGAGACAUUGCACCAAACGCUUCACUAAGUUAGUCCAGCUUAAUCUAGUCUAAGCCAGCCCAGCUUAGUCCCUGAAGCUAGUCCAAUCUGAGACUGUCCGGUGCAAAACAAACUCACCCAUAAAGCACUACUCAUAUUAAUUCAUCUAUAUGGCCCAAAGUAAGUUAGAACUACUAUUCAGUAGCUCAAAGAAAACCAAGAAUUAACUUUGAAGGCAAGUGUCAAAUUGUCUUAAUGGAUAGAGCAUUUCUCUACAAUUUACUACGUUCCAGAUUUAAACUCUCUCCCUUUUUAGUUUAGUUGAAUUUAGUGUAAAUUAUUCAAUCAUUUAUCGAAAUUUUUUGAAGAAGUAUAUAUGAUUUAAUGAGAUGGUUGGAUUUUGACAUUAUUAUCCAAGGGUAGUGCUAUAUGUACACCCUUUUUAACUUCUCCACAUCCCUCUCAAUUUUUCAAUCGUUAGAUUGAAUGAAUUGAAGAGGAUUCAUGACAAAAAAUUAAUAUAAAGGUGUAUGAGAGGUAAUACUGAGUGUGUAAAUUGCACUUUCCUUAUCCAAAUGAUUGUUCCAAAUCUAGUCCAGUUAAGAAAAUCUGUGAGUAUUUAAUGGAGUCGGGCAUGAAGAAGUAAUGAAUUCUCCCACAAAUAAAAAGAAUAUCUUGUAAAAACCUAUGUUACAUAGUGGUGGCAAUGUGUUAAGCCUUUACAUGAUGGCGUGGAUUCAAAUCUCGUCGGUGGGUAAUUUGAUAUCUAAUCUUACAAAAUCUAUCGUUUGACAAAAAAAAAAAAAAAAAAAAAAAACCUAUGUUAUCGUUAUCCCUAAUUUUCUAAUCAUUUGAACGAUUUUAACUGGCCUAUUAUGUAUGAAUGCUUUUGUAGAAAACACUUUUCUUUUCAAUUUCUAUAUGUGGGAAUACUUUUGUGAGAAGCAUAUCGAAAUUUCAAUCCACUUGGCAUUACAAUUUAGUGGUAUUUUUUUUCACUUAUAAAUAUGAGGUCUUAUAUUCUCGUGAAUAAUAAGUUUAGUACCAAAUUAUUACGAUUGACUUAUUAUGUGGCUUAACUCAAAUUUUUAUCCCUUAAUAUAAAUAUAUUAUUGUAUCAAAGAAAUUCAAAUUUUUUCAACACUUGAAAUCACUAUUUCACGAAUUGAUUUUGCAAUUCCUCCUCACAAAAAACAUUAAAAGUGCUCUAUAACUUAACUAAUAAUUUUAUCAUUUUAGGUGGAAUGUUCUAAGAAACUUAGUUAAAAGCAUUCACCUCUAUACUAUUUAUUAGGUUUGGCAAUUCCUGACACAAUCCGAUAACCCAACACGACACAGCACGAAAUUAACAGGUGUUCGGGUCGACACGAUAACAAAUCGGGUCAUUAUUGGGUAACCCGAUAAGCACAUGUUAAGAUAACGGUUUGGUUUGGAUAUACACGUGGAUAACAUGAUAAACGAUAAGCAAAAUAUUAAUUUUAUAAUUUUAUAACCCUAAAAAAAUACUAUAAUAAUUAUAUAUAUUAAUUUAACAAUUUUAUACCCCUAAAAACUAUAAUAAUUAUAUAUAUGGGAUAUGAUCAAGGGACAAACAUUUUGACAAAUAUUUUUACACUUCUUUUAAACCUUUAGAUUACAAAACAUCCAAAGGUCCAUAUUCAUUCAUUAAAUGACAUGGAUGCUUAAGGGAUUUUAACUAAUAUUAAUGACAAAAAUUAAAACUGAAAAAAAAAAUUCUGGAAAAUUAAAAAUAAAUUUUAAAAAUGGAAUAAACCCUAACUAGUUGUAAUCAUGAAAACAAACUACCUGCAGACUUUGAGCCAAUAACAAAAACAAUGAAAUCUCUUUUUAAUUUGCCGAUUGCGUAUGCAAAGCUUGGAUAAGAUUGUUGCCAAAAGUCCCUUAAUAUCUACAGAAAAAUCACCAUUAGGUAAGCAAAAGUAGGCUUGGCAAACGGGUCGUGUCUGUCGUGUUCGUGUCGUUUUCGUGUAACACCUGUUAUCUUAACGGGUCGUGUCGUGUCACACCCAUUAUCUUAACGGGUCCUUAACAGGUCGUGUCACUUUACCCAACGGGUAAAGUGACCCGACCCGUUAUGACCCGUUAAGAAAAAUAUAUUUUUUUUUAAAUUUGCACAUACCACAUAUUGCCAUAUAAAUAUUACUUCAAAACAUUAAAACAUUUGUCAUGUAAGUACUAUAACUACACUCGAAAAUAAGAGCCUAAUAAAAAAAAAUAAUACAUACACUACUAAUCUAUUAUAAAUAUUAAAUGUGCAAGGAUAUGCAAAAUGAAAGAGUUUUUGUUUUCACGGUUGUAAGUCUUUCUCAAAAGAUUAAAUCUCAGCCGAUCCAAAUGGUCAUCAAUUUUUUAAAUUUAAUUUAAUAUAUAUAAUUAUAUUAUAUAAUUACUAUAGUUUUUAGGGGUAUAAAAUUGUUAAAUUAAUAUAUAUAAUUCUUAUAGUUGAUUCAUACUUUUAUUAAGUAUAUAACAUAAGAUUUUGUGAUAUCCACAUCCACUAGUGUAAAUAUUUUAAAUUGAAGAUCAAAUUCAUAUAUGGUCAAGGACUGUAGCUGUAAAAAAUCAUCAAAAUUGGAGUUAAAAUAACCGUUAAAUCGUGAUUUUUCGUUUAUAACCGUCGAAAAGUUUUGUCCCGUUACUUGAUCUCUGAAUGUUUGUUUUUUGUGAUUUUUUGCUUAUGUGAUCUCGAAGCAUAUACAAACAAGUUUAACGGUUGGGAUCGUUGAAAUUAGUUUCGGAGAAUUCGUAUCCCAUCAAAACAAUAGAUUGACUAACACUUAAAGUUUAUUUAUAUUUUCAUUAAGUAUAACAUAAGAUUUUGUGUUAUCUACUUGUGUAAAUAUUUUAAAUUGAAGAUCGAAUUCAUUCUUUGUAUUCAUAUAGGGUCAAGGAGUGUAGCUGUAAAAAAUCAUCAAAAUCGGAGUUAAAAUAACCGUUAAAUCAUGAUUUUUCGUUUAUAACCGUCGAAAAGUUUUGUCUCGUUACUUGAUCUCUAAAUGUUUGUUUUUUGUGAUUUUUUGCUGAUGUGAUCUCGAAGCAUAUACAAACAAGUUUGAUGAUUGGAAUCGUUGAAAUUAGUUUCGGAGAAUUCGUAUCACCCAUCAAAACAAUAGAUUGACUAACACUUAGAGUUUAUUUCUACUUUCAUUAAGUAUAACAUAAGAUUUUGUGGUAUCCACUUGUGUAAAUAUUUUAAAUUGAAGAUCGAAUUCAUUCAUUGUAUUCAUAUAGGGUCAAGGACUAUAGCUGUAAAAAUCAUCAAAAUCGGAGUUAAAAUAACCGUUAAAUCGUGAUUUUUCGUUUAUAACCGUCGAAAAGCUUUGUCCCGUUACUUGAUCUCUAAAUGUUUGAUUUUGUGAUUUUUUGGUGAUGUGAUCUCGAAGCAUAUACAAACAAGUUUGACGGUUGAGAUCGUUGAAAUUAGUUUCGGAGAAUUUGUAUCCCAUCAAAACAAUAGAUUGACUAACACUUAAGAGUUUAUUUUUACUUUCAUUAAGUAUAACAUAAGAUUUUGUGGUAUCCACUUGUGUAAAUAUUUUAAAUUGAAGAUCGAAUUCAUUCAUUGUAUUCAUAUAGGGUCAAGGAGUGUAGCUGUAAAAAAUCAUUAAAAUCGGAGUUAAAAAUAACCGAUAAAUCGUGAUUUUUCGUUUAUAACCGUCGAAAAGAUUUGUCCCGUUACUUAAUCUUUGAAUGUUUGUUUUUUGUGAUUUUUUUGGUGAUGUGAUCUCGAAGCAUAUACAAACAAGUUUGACGGCUGUGAUCGUUGAAAUAUGUUUCGGAGAAUUCGUAUCCCAUCAAGUUCAAUGGUGUAUGUAUACAUAUAUAUAUAUAUUAAGUAGAUUUAAAUCUAUUUAUUUUGUAUGUAUAAUUGACCGGUACACAGAAUAGUACAUCACGUGUCAUUAUAAAAAUAGUGGGAUAUAUCAUGUGCGAUAAAAAGUUAAUAACUUAAAAAAAAAUAUUCUCACCACUGCACUUCUAUUAAUUUUAUUUUUUCCCUCUCUUUUUUGUUUCCUUUUCAACUUUUCAUAUAAUUUUCACUUUUCCCUCCACCCUAUCCAUUCAUCUUUCCCUAAUUCCCUCUCUUUUUUGUUUCCUUUUCAACUUUUCUUAUCAUUUUCAUUUUCCCUCCCUUUUUCUUCAAAAAGGGCGGCAUUGCAGCAAGGAAUGGAAUGGAUCAAUUAUGGAAUCAAAAUUCAAAUCAAUGGAUGCAUACAUAUUAAUUAAUAAUUAUUAUAGUUUUUAUAAUUCAAAAUUUAAUCUAUAUAUAUAUAUAUAUAUAAUUAUUAUAGAUAGUUAAUAUUUUGGGGUAUAAUUAUUGUAGUAUAUAUAAUUAUUAUAAUUAUUAUAGUUAAUUUAAUAUAUAUAUAUAGAUAUUUAUUAUAGUUUUUAGGGGUAUAAAAUUGUUAAAUUAAUAUAUAUAAUUAUUAUAGAUAGUUAAUAUUUUGGGGUAUAAUUAUUAUAGUAUAUAUAAUUAUUAUAAUUAUUAUAGUUAAUUUAAUAUAUAUAUAUAUAUAUAUAGAUAUUUAUUAUAGUUUUUAGGGGUAUAAAAUUGUUAAAUUAAUAUAUAUAAUUAUUACAAUAUUUUUUUUAGGGUUCUAAAAUUAUAAAAUUAAUAUUCUGCUUAUCGUGUAUCGUGUUACCCACGUGUAUACCCGAAUCAACUCGUUAUCUUAACAGGUGCUUAUCGGGUUACCCGAUAACGACCCGAAUCGUUAUCGUGUCGACCCGAACACUUGUUAAUUUCGUGUCGUGUCGUGUCAGGAAUUGCCAGGCCUAAGCAAAACACAAUCCUAUAUUCUUUAUUAUUUUCCUCUCUCCUUUUUAAUUUUAAUUUUAAUUACCUUCUAUAUUUUAUGCUUUUUGAAUUUUAUUUUUAUGUUUAAUAUUAGUUAAAAUCCACUUAAGCAUCCAUGUCAUUUAAUGAAUGAAUAUGGACCUUUGGAUGUUUUGUAAUCUAAAGGUUUAAAAGAAGUAUAAAAAUAUUUGUCAAAAUGUUUGUCUCUUGAUCCUAUCCCUAUAUAUAUAUUAAAUAUAAUUUUAAAAAAUUGGAGAGACCAUUGGAUCGGCUGAGAUUUAAUCUCAGCCGUCCAUUGUGCAUUAGGUUGGAGGCUAAUAUAUUUUUAUAUGGUAUAGUACUAUUGUUUUAUUUCUUUUCAUAAUUAUUUUGGUAAACUUCUCAUAAUUUGAAUUGUUUUUAAUGUUUGAUUUUUCUAUACUUAGUUUAUGCGAAAGAGAGUUAUGAUGUGGAAAACCUUACUGAAAACAUCAUCAACAUAACUCUUGAAGGCAAUAGAUCAUGCCAAAGUUCCAAUACAAUUUCUUCAUGAUGAUCGAUGAAAAUUGAGGAUUUUGUAAAAGGAAUAACAUGCAAGCUUUGAGUUCCAUUGGUAAGGUUUAAACUUUUGAGAAAGGCUUCACAACAUUGAAACCAAAAAAACUCUUUCAUUUUGCAUAUCCUUGCACAUUUAAUAUUUUGUAAUAGACUAAUAGUGUAUGGAUGGUUUUUUUUUAGGCUCUUAUUUUCGAGUGUAGAUGUAGUACUUAAACGACAAAUGUGUUUUAAUGUUUUGAAGUAAUAUUUAUGUGGCAAUGUGUGGUAUGUGCAAAUUUAAGAAAAAAAAUUAUAUUUUUCUUAACGGGUCGGGUUGGGUAAAGUGACUCGACCUGUUAAGGACCCGUUAAGAUAACAGGUGUGACACGACACGACCCGUUAAGAUAAACAGGUGUUACACGAAAACGACACGAACACGACAGACACGACCCGUUUGCUAGGCCUACUAUUUAUACAAAAAAUAAUCAAUCUUGUAUCUGAUUUAGAAAUUUCUCCUUUGUAUUAUACUUAAAAUAAAGAAAGGGUAAAUCUCAGUUUAUUACCCUCAAGUUUCACGGUUUUCAACAUUUAGUACAUGAAUUUUUUUUCGUCCAAGAGUCAUACCUAAAGUGUUAAUUUUGGGACAGUCUCAAACAUCUGUUAGUCUAGCUGUUAAGUCUUUCGUUAACUGAUGACAUGGAGCUCAUGUGGACAAAUGACUGGACGCCACAUGUCAUUAAGGGUCCACGUGAAAAUAAAAAAAAUAAAAAAAUAAAAAAACCAGAAUUUCAGAAUUCAAAACUCCUUUCCCAUUCCUCUUCUUCCCAACCGCCUUCCCGAUUUCUGGAAACACUGGCAGCCAUCUCAGCACGUGCAAGCCCCUACAGGAAUCCAGUUCUGGCGGAAUGGAACCUCAUUUCCCCUUUUCUCCGCGCCCAAUUCUCCACUCGCGAAAUUGGCUUGGCGAAUGGGGUUUCCUGAUUCCACAUCACGAACCCUACAAGAUCGCUCAAAAUGCUCGAACCCAAUACACUAUUUUCAUGGAGGGUUGAGGCGCCUCUAAAUCCCCGUACGGACUACAAGUCGUGGAGGGCGUUGGCGAAGUCGAAGACGUUCGUGUUGGUGCGCUUAGCCAUGGUAGCAUAGGAGGCGGAGGCUACGACGCUGAUGUGGGUUAGGGUUUCGAGGGUAGAGGGCUUCAUGGAUUUGAAUCCGACUAAUUGGGUGAUCUGAGACUGGCAAUGGCGAAUUGGAACUCUGGUGGGAUCAGGUUUUGGAUUGGAGGUGCUGGGCUUUGUUUGAGUUUUGGGAUUUUGUGUCAUGAUUUGGAUUUUUGGGACAUGGUGGUGGUGGCGUUGGCGGAUUGGAAGAAGAUUUAGUGUUGCAGAUGAGGAAUGGGAAUGUGGUUUUGAAUUUUAAAAUUUUGGGUUUUUUUUUGUUUGAAAUUUUAAUUUCCACGUGGACCCCUUAAUGACACGUGGCUCCCAGUCAUUGUCCACAUGGACGCCACGUUAUCAGUUAACAAAAAACUUAACAACCAGACUAACGAAUAUAUAAGACUGUCCCAAAAUUAACAUUUUAGGUAUGACUCUGGGAUGAAAAAAAUUCCAUGUACUAAAUGUUGAAAACCACGAAAUUUGAUGGUAGUAAACUGAUAUUUACCCUAAAAGCAACAUUCAAAAUGCGGGAAGAAAAGAAUAAAACAGAUGGGUGGCGAAUGACAGUAGUUCCAAUAUUAGCCAAUCAUCAGGAGUUGGAUUGUGGACAGAACCAACAUCUUUAAAUCGGAAUAAAAUUAAAAAUGUCUGACAAAUAUCAAAGUUUUCUCUCUCUCUCUCUCUCUCUCUCUCUCUCUCUCUCUCUCUCUCUCUCUCUAUGCCUUCCAAGCAAAAAUUUCACUGUUCCAAAAUCACAAUCCCUCCCUUAUUCACCUCAAUUUUUUUGCAAGUUUUUUAAUUCUUAAUCUCAUGCUUUUUGUCUCUCAGAAUAGAAGGAGAAUAUAUAGAUGGGCUUUUUAGCAAAAUGGUCUCUAAGAUUUGCAUAACACAUAACUUUAGUCUCUGAGAUUGGAAAUCAAUAGAAGUAGUUCAUGAGAUUGUCCACUAUCUGUUAUUUUGGUCAUUCCAUUAAAAAACUCAGUUAAAUGGUCCCUGAGCUUUUUAACGUUUUAACGGAAUGACCAAAAUGAUGGAUGGUGGAUAAUCUCAGGAACCAAAAGUUAUGUGUUAUGCAAAUCUCAGAGACCAUUUUGGCUAAAAAUACCCUCAACUUAAUGGAGUUUUUUAACAGAAUGACCAAAAUAAUGGAUAGUGGACAAUCUCAGUGACCACUUCUAUUGAUUUUCAAUCUCAAUGACCAAAAUUAUGUGUUAUGCGAAUCUUAAUGACCAUUUUGACUAAAAAGGCUAUAUAUAUAUAUAUAUAUAUAUAUAUAUAUAUAUAUAUAUAGAGAGAGAGAGAGAGAGAGAGAGAGAGAGAGAGAGAGAGAGAGAGAGAGAGAGAGAGAGAGAGAGACAGAGAGAGAGAGAGAGAGAGAGAGAGAGAGACUUUAGAUGCGGUCGCUAACCACUAAUACUCAUUGAUUAUAACCUUAGUGGUUUUCAAUUUUUGAUCAAAAUCCUUUAACUUUGUACACCUCAGCAUAUUAAUAUUAGGGUUAAUCUCUGUUUACUACUCUGAAGUUUCGUGGUUUUCAACAUUUAGUACAUGAAGUUUUUUUCAUGCCAGAGUCAUACCUAAAGUGUUAAUUUUGGGACAGUCUCAUACAUCCGUUAGUCAAACUGAUAACUCUGCCGUUAAAUGAUGAUGUGGCGCCACGUGUCAUUAAAAAAAUAAAAAUAAAAACUAUUAAAAUAAUUAAUAAAAUAAAAAAGUAAAAAAAAUUAAAAAACCAUCAUCUCCUACCUCUUUCCCCCACCCCGAUCCCAACCAUCAUUCCCUCCUACCUUACCCCCUCCCCUUGCGAGAAAAAACCCAUCAUCUUCUACCUCCCCCGAUCCCACCCAACCCUUCCUCUCUUUUCUCCUCUACGCCCACCCAACCCUCCCUCCCAUGCCCGAUCUAAAAACCCUCUUGGACUGGCGAAGAUGAACAAGAUCGUGGUGAGAUCGUUGGUCGGUGGUCUGCACGGUGCCCGAAACUACACCGCUGCAUUUCCACGACGGUUGCUGCUAGGUUGUUGGACGACGUCGAGUUCCUGAGCCGCCGGAGCAACGACGAUGUUAGCAAAUCUGGGGAUGGCUUCGAAGUUUCUAGGUUUUGGUAGGAGAGAAUGAAGGAAGGGUUUGGAGCUUGCUCAGUCUGUGGUGUCGCGGCCUUGAACCGAACUCAUCGAGGUUGCACAUAGUAGAACAUUCCACAUCGCCACCAACAACCUUGUCUGCCUGCCAACACCACACACAUCCCUUACGCCGCCACCAGGAUCCGAUCCGACCCAGAGUCGCUCUUGGCUUGUAGAUCCGAGUAGGGGUGUGGUGGGGUGUGAGUUAGUAAUGAAAUUAGUCAAACUUGGUUAUUUGACUAAUGAGGUGUAAAUCAAUAGGUUUGUAGGUGUAGGAAGGUGUAAAUCAAUGGGUCAACCAGAUUUGGUUGAUUUGAGUGGUUUGAGGUGAUUUGCUCUGGUUUGGGUGGUUUGAGGAAGGGUGUUGCAGGUGCAGAAGAGAGAAAGGAGGGAAAGGGUGCGAGUUGCAUAGGGAAGAAGGAAGGGUUUUGUGAUGGAGGGGGUGGAAGGAUGACUGUGCAGGUGGGAAAGUGGUGGAGAGGGUGGAGAAAAUGGAGGGAUGUCGGGGAAGACGACGGGUUCUGGGUCGGAUCGACGUGCAGGUGGGUGGGGCAUUCGGUGGUGUACGAGUUCGACGUGCAGAGGAGAAAGUGAUGAACAGAGAAGGACUAGGCCUAUGUAGAGGGAAAGGGAGAAAAAACAAAAGGGGAUCUGGGGAGAAGGGGGAGGGGGAAGGGGAAGGAUGGAUGUGCAGAUGUGCAGAGGGAGAAGGGAGGGAGGUCGGGGUGGGGAAGACAAAGGAGAUAUGGGGAUUUUUUUGUUUUUUUACUUUUAUUUUAUUAAUUAUUUUAAUAGUUUUUUUUUAAAUUUUUUUAAUGACACAUGGCGCCCAGUCAUUGUCCACGUGGACGCCACGUCAUCAUUUAACGGCAGAGUUAAUAGUUUGACUAACGGAUGUAUGAGACUAUCCCAAAAUUAACACUUUAGGUAUGACUCUGGGAAGAAAAAAAUUUCAUGUACUAAAUGUUGAAAAUCAUGAAACUUCAGGGUAGUAAACAGUGAUUAAUAUUAAUAUAUUUCUAUGUCAACAAUAAAACUUGAGAUUUUAUGGUAUUUAAAAUCUCACAUCUAAUGAGGUAUAAAAAAAAAGGGCCAACAAAAAAUAUGGAAAUUUUUUUCAAAAAUUUUGAUUGAAUAAAAAAUCAAUAUAACAAUAUAAUUCCUUUUGAAAAUGUAUACUAAUCAUUUACGCAUAUAUAUGUAUCAAUCAAUUGGAAACAGUGUUAAAAAGUGUCAACAGAAUGUAUCCAACAUUGUUAUGAAUUUGACCAAAAGAAAACUUUGUUAUGAAUGACAAAAUAGUCAUCACAUGUCAAAAGAAUGUACCAGUACAUUCGUCAUAUGUAAUUAUCUAUGGGGUACAAUUUCAACAUUGUUCCAAAAGUAAAAUGUUUUAACAUGUAACUCAUAUAAAUGUUUUGAAAGAAUGUACCCAUAUAAUUAUGGGAGCUUUAUAUAUAGAGACAAAAAACUUUCAUUAUAUUUCAAGGAACUCCACUAGUUCUUAAACAUGUCAAUGAGAGACAAAAACAUAAAAACAACUAAAGCCCAACCCAAAAACAUGAAAACAAUGUUUUAAAAUACCAGUUAUACCCCUAAGGCUUUAGAUUAAACAAAAACCCAGCCCUCACAACUCCAACAAAAUUAAUAUAUUCCAUAAGCUCAACUCAUCAUCCACUAUUUAUGUAACAUCCCACAUCGCCCAUGAGAGUGAAUCAUCUAUGCCUUAUAUGUAUAUUCUCAUCUCUACCUAGCAUGAGACAUUUUGGGAGCUCAUUGGCUUUGGGUUCUGUAGGAACUUCAAAGUUAAGAGAGUUCGCACGAGAGCAAUCUCAAGAUGGGUAACCCACUGGGAAGUUUUCAUGUGAGUUCUCAGAAACAAAACUAUGAGGGCGUGGUCGGGGCCCAAAGUGGACAAUAUCGUGCUACGGUGGAGUCAAGCCCGGGAUGUGGUGGGGGCCGGGCCGGGAUGUGACAAUUUGAUAUCAGAGCCAAUCCAUGGCCAGAUGUGUGUGUCGACGAGGGCGUCGGGCCCCUAAAGGGAUGGAUUGUAACAUCCCACAUCGCCCAGGGGAGUGGAUCAUCUAUGCCUUAUAUGUAUAUUCUCAUCUCUACCUAGCACGAGGUUUUUUGGGAGCUCACUGACUUCGGGUUCCGUAGGAACUCCGAAGUGAAGCGAGUUCGUGUGAGACAAUCCCAGGAUAGGUGACCCAUUGGGAAGUUCUCGUGUGAGUUCUCAUAAACAAAACCGUGAGGGCGUGGUUGGGGCCCAAAGCGGACAAUAUCGUGCUACGGUGGAGUUGAGUCUGGGAUGUAGUGGGAACCCGGGACGGGAUGUGACAAUUUAUGCAGAAUCGGUUUUGAAACUAUAUGCAAAAUCAGUUUGUAUCAUAUAUUACUAAAAUCAGUUCAAUCUGUCCUUGACCAUAUUUGUAGAAUCAGUUCAACUCGUCAUUGACUAUUUUUGCAGAAUCAGUUUAACCCGUCAUUGGCCAUUUUUUGUAAAAUCAGUUCAACUCUUUUGCUGACCAUUUUUACAGAACUAGUUCAAUUAAUCAUUGACCAUUUUUGCAGAAUCAAUUCAACUCGUCUUCGACCAUUUUUGCAGAAUCAGUUCAACCCGUCUUCGACUAUAUUUGCAGAAUCAAUUCAAUCAGUUAUCAACCAUUUUUGCAGAAUUAGUUCAACCCGUCCUCAACCAUUUUUGCAUAAUCAGUACAACUCUUGCUCGAUCAUUUUUGUAGAAUUAGUUCAACUCGUUAUCGACCAUUUUUGCAGAAUCAGUUCAAUCAGUCAUCGACCAUUUUUGUAGAAUUAGUUCAACCUAUCAUCGACCAUUCUUGCAUAAUCAAUUCAUCUCGUCCUAAACGAUUUUUGCAUAAUCAAUUCAACCCGUCUAAAACCAUUUUUACAGAAUCAUUUUAAUUAGUCAUCGGCCAUUUUUGUAGAAUCAGAAUCAGCUCAACCUGUCCUCAGCUAUUUUUACAGAAUCAGUUCAACCCGUCAUCAACCAUUUUUUACAUAAUUAGUUCAAUAAGGCAUUGAUUAUUUUUGCAGAAUCAGUUCAACCCAUCUUCGACGAUUUUUGUAAAUCAAUUUUAAAUAUAUGUAAAAUCAGUUUUGUAUAUACUUUUUUAGUAAAAUCAAUUUAUAUAAUUUCUCCAUAUAUAAAGCUCCCUAGUAUAAUCAGUUUAUAUUUUUUCAAAAGAAAAUAAUUUAAAAAUUAAAAAUUAACUUAAAAAAUUAAGUGGGAAGUGGAUCCCACCCAUCCUUUCCACCUACCAUCCCACCUCCUGACCUCCCAUUCUUCUUCGUCACCCUUAAACUCACAAUCCCUCAUUAUUCACGACUUCAUCCUCUCCAAUUUGUUUCUUCUUCUUCGGACAAAUUUCAGAACUUCCAAUCUACAAGUCGGUUUGACAAACGGUUUUUACUACGGAAUCAGUGAAUGUAACCUAACUAGCUAAGGUAAUUUUUAGAAACAUGCAUUCUGGUUUUGAAAACCCUGAAUACCAUACAGUAAAAACUUAAAGACAAAUUCCUUGUGUUGACAGGUACAAAUCUUGAAACUCCAGGGGCAGCAAAAUGAGAAGACGACGCCCUUCAGCUUGACCUAUCGCUCUCACGAUUAGGCAGAAACAGCAACUAUCUUUCUUAACAGCAGAAACGUCAUCCUUGUUUCCGACAUUUAUGGUCUGUCCCUUGGGCAAUGCUGCAGGAUCAUCUCCGACCUCUAGUGCUUUCCGGCAGACUACAUGGUAUAUCUGUGUUAGGACUUCAGUGAAAGCAUUUUCAACGUUCAUAGACUCGAGUGCUGAUGUCUCCAUAAAGAAGGUGUUUUCUCUCUCAGCAAAAGCCUUAGCAUCCUCAACAGAAACAGCACGCAGGUGACGCAGGUCAGCUUUGUUACCCACGAGCAUUAUCACAAUGUUGGAGUCUGUGUGAUCCCGUAGCUCCUUCAACCAUCUCUCAACAUUCUCAAAUGUCACAUGCCGGGUGACAUCAUAGACAAGCAAAGCGCCAACAGCUCCUCGGUAGUAUGCACUUGUAAUUGCACGGUACCUUCAACAAAAGAAAAAAUUACUCAAAACUUAAAAUUCGGGCAAUCAUCAUUCACAAAUGACAACCGCAACCACAUCAAAACAACAAAUUAUUAAAUGCCCUGAAAGCUAUUAUCUCAAAUCUUCUAGUCUGCUACCGAAAAGGUUCACCAACACAAACUAAAGACUACAUCUGCUCGGUAGAAGGAAAGCAACGAAUAUUCAGUACCAAUCCUAUUUCCGAAAAACACACUAUUCAACACAUAAAGCCACAUUAGUAGAAUCCCUUGUUGGAUUUACAUCUGACGGUACAGGAGAGACAUCUUCACUUACCAGAUGACCUACUUAUAAUGUUCAAAAGUUUAUCCUUCUGCAAUGAACCAAGCAGAAAGAACUAAACAUGUACUUUUUCGAUGCUCAAUUCUUUGCGAUUAUAGCUUACAAUUUCGUAAUUUUGUAAUUUGAUAAUUCUAUUAUUCAAUACAAGAGAACAUGUUCAAAUUCAGAAGUGAUCUUACAUUGGUGUCAGAUUCUGUUCAGCAUUCAAACAAUAAACCGAAAACAAAAAUAAAAACCCAAUUAGUAGCAGAUCUCGAUUCGUAUGGCGAACGAAAACUCUAAACAGUCCCUUCAAUUUUCCCACAUUUUCUCAGCACCCAAUUACCCUUUUUCCCACAUUUUCUCAGCAUCCAAUCACCCAUUUACCCAAAUCCCAUAACAAAAAAUAAAAAAUAAAAAAAAGGCAAACAGAUUGAAAUUAUCGAAAUGUGAAUUGGGCGAGAAAGUUAAAAACCUUUCUUGGCCAGCGGUAUCCCAAAUCUGGGCCUUGACGAUCUUCUCAUCAACGUGGAUACUCCGAGUGGCGAACUCGACGCCGAUCGUCGACUUCGACUCGAGGCUGAACUCGUUGCGCGUGAAUCUCGACAAAAGGUUGGAUUUUCCGACGCCGGAGUCGCCAAUCAACACCACCUUGAACAGAUAAUCAUAGUCGUCAUCCGCCCUGUACGCCAUGGCUGCCCUCCUCCCUCACAAAUCCAAAUUCGACUCGGCGGUUGGGUUUGGUUGGGUUCUGGUUUCCGG
rnacentral:lncRNA from 1 species